UGUCCUUUGGUGUAAUGGUUAGCACGACAGACUUUGACUCUGUUAGUCCUUGUUCGACCCAAGGAGGGACAA
rnacentral:tRNA from 1 species